AUCGUAGUUUACUCUGUAUAUAUGAGAAGCGAUUUAUGUAAGGCUCCUGGGAUAAUGCCCUUGCUUUAAAACCAUUAAUGUCACUUGCUACCUACAUUGAUGGUCUCUGAAAUCUUUAACUACCUACUCAAUCAGUUUUGUUUUUUUUUAAAUUAAGGAUUUUAUAACAGUAAAGUUCUAAGUAUUCCUAAUGGCCUAUCGGGGCUGGCUAUAUAACCUCCCAAGCUUUAGAAGGAACUAAAGAUCUAUGAUGUUAGAAUUAUGUGUUCUUAGGCACAA
rnacentral:lncRNA from 1 species